rnacentral:rRNA from 1 species
UACGAAGGGGGCUAGCGUUGCUCGGAAUCACUGGGCGUAAAGGGUGCGUAGGCGGGUCUUUAAGUCAGGGGUGAAAUCCUGGAGCUCAACUCCAGAACUGCCUUUGAUACUGAGGAUCUUGAGUUCGGGAGAGGUGAGUGGAACUGCGAGUGUAGAGGUGAAAUUCGUAGAUAUUCGCAAGAACGACCAGUCGGCGAAGGCGGAGCUCAC